ACGAACGCUGGCGGCGCGCCUAACACAUGCAAGUCGAACGAGAAAGAGGGAGCUUGCUCCCUUGAUCGAGUGGCAAACGGGUGAGUAACACGUAACAACCUGCCUUCAGGAUGGGGACAACAGACGGAAACGACUGCUAAUACCGAAUAAGUUCCAAGAGCCGCAUGGCCCAUGGAAGAAAAGGUGGCCUCUACCUGUAGGCUAUCGCCUGAAGAGGGGUUUGCGUCUGAUUAGCUGGUUGGAGGGGUAACGGCCCACCAAGGCGACGAUCAGUAGCCGGUCUGAGAGGAUGAACGGCCACACUGGAACUGAGACACGGUCCAGACUCCUACGGGAGGCAGCAGUGGGGAAUCUUCCGCAAUGGGCGAAAGCCUGACGGAGCAACGCCGCGUGAGUGAUGACGGCCUUCGGGUUGUAAAACUCUGUGAUCCGGGACGAAAAGGCAGAGUGCGAAGAACAAACUGCAUUGACGGUACCGGAAAAGCAAGCCACGGCUAACUACGUG
rnacentral:rRNA from 1 species